UACGUAGGGAGCAAGCGUUGUCCGGAAUCAUUGGGCGUAAAGCGCGCGUAGGCGGCCCUGUAAGUCCGUUGUGAAAGUCAAAGGCUCAACCUUUGAAAGCCGAUGGAUACUGCGGGGCUAGAGUCCGGAAGAGGCGAGUGGAAUUCCUGGUGUAGCGGUGGAAUGCGCAGAUAUCGGGAGGAACACCUGUGGCGAAAGCGGCGCACUGGACCAUAACUGACGCUGAGGCGCGAAAGCUAGGGGAGCAAACGGG
rnacentral:rRNA from 1 species